rnacentral:rRNA from 1 species
UGGGGAAUAUUGGACAAUGGGCGCAAGCCUGAUCCAGCCAUGCCGCGUGAGUGAUGAAGGCCCUAGGGUUGUAAAGCUCUUUCGCACGCGACGAUAAUGACGGUAGCGUGAGAAGAAGCCCCGGCUAACUUCGUGCCAGCAGCCGCGGUAAUACGAAGGGGGCUAGCGUUGUUCGGAAUCACUGGGCGUAAAGGGCGCGUAGGCGGCCGAUCAAGUCGGGGGUGAAAGCCUGUGGCUCAACCACAGAAUUGCCUUCGAUACUGUUUGGCUUGAGACCGGAAGAGGUUAGUGGAACUGCGAGUGUAGAGGUGAAAUUCGUAGAUAUUCGCAAGAACACCAGUGGCGAAGGCGGCUGACUGGUCCGGUUCUGACGCUGAGGCGCGAAAGCGUGGGGAGCAAAC